GACGAACGCUGGCGGCGUGCUUAACACAUGCAAGUCGAACGGAAAGGCCCUGCUUUUGUGGGGUGCUCGAGUGGCGAACGGGUGAGUAACACGCGAGUAACCUGCCCUUGACUUUGGGAUAACUUCAGGAAACUGGGGCUAAUACCGGAUAGGAGCUCCUGCUGCAUGGUGGGGGUUGGAAAGUUUCGGCGGUUGGGGAUGGACUCGCGGCUUAUCAGCUUGUUGGUGGGGUAGUGGCUUACCAAGGCUUUGACGGGUAGCCCGCCUGAGAGGUGGACCGGCCACAAUAGGACUGAGAUACGGCGCAGACUCCUACGGGAGGCAACAGGGGGGAAUAUUGCAGAAUGGGCGGAAGCCAGAGGCAGCAACGCCGCGUGCGGGAUGACGGCCUUCGAGUUGUAAACCGCUUUCGCCUGUGACGAAGCGUGAGUGACGGUAAUGGGUAAGAAAGCACCGGCUAACUACGUG
rnacentral:rRNA from 1 species